rnacentral:rRNA from 1 species
CAUUGACCUCGGAUCAGGUAGGGAUACCCGCUGAACUUAAGCAUAUCAAUAAGCGGAGGAAAAGAAACCAACAGGGAUUGCCUCAGUAACGGCGAGUGAAGCGGCAACAGCUCAAAUUUGAAAUCUGGCCCUUUCGGGGUCCGAGUUGUAAUUUGUAGAGAGUGCUUCGGGUGAGACCGCGGUCUAAGUCCAUUGGAACAUGGCGUCAUAGAGGGUGAGAAUCCCGUAUGUGACUGCGGAUCGAGCCCAUGUGAAGCAUCUUCGACGAGUCGAGUUGUUUGGGAAUGCAGCUCAAAAUGGGUGGUAAAUUUCAUCUAAAGCUAAAUACUGGCUGGAGACCGAUAGCGCACAAGUAGAGUGAUCGAAAGAUGAAAAGCACUUUGGAAAGAGAGUCAAACAGUACGUGAAAUUGUUGAAAGGGAAGCGCUUGCAACCAGACCUGCCCGUAGGCGAUCAGCCGCUGUUUUCAGCGGUGCACUCGCUCUGCGAUCAGGCCAGCAUCGGUUUCGGCGGCCGGAUAAAGGCCCUGGGAAUGUAGCUUCCUCCGGGGAGUCUUAUAGCCCUCGGUGCAAUGCGGCCAGCCGGGACCGAGGACCGCGCUUCGGCUAGGAUGCUGGCGUAAUGGUUGUAAGCGACCCGUCUUGAAACACGGACCAAGGAGUCUAACAUCUAUGCGAGUGUUUGGGUGUCAAACCCAUGCGCGGAAUGAAAGUGAACGGAGGUGAGAACCCUUAAGGGCGCAUCAUCGACCGAUCCAGAUGUCUUCGGAUGGAUUUGAGUAUGAGCAUAGCUGUUGGGACCCGAAAGAUGAUGAACUAUACUUGAAUAGGGUGAAGCCAGAGGAAACUCUGGUGGAGGCUCGCAGCGGUUCUGACGUGCAAAUCGAUCGUCAAAUUUGGGUAUAGGGGCGAAAGACUAAUCGAAUCAUCUAGUAGCUGGUUCCUGCCGAAGUU